UACAAAAUUAGACCAGUGAAUAUCUUCUGCAUGAUCAAGAUAUGCAGAAGGGCCUAAUAAAUAAGUAGAAAACGGAAGAAAUCUUUCUGAUCUUCUGCAUGAUGGCUGGUAAUGUAACUAAUGAGUUUUUUUUUUUUUUCUAAAUUUAAAGCAGACGAUUGUAUUUAAAACAGAAUAUACUGCUAGAAAUAUUUGUUGAGCUUGUUAAAGACUUUUGAGAUCAUCGAAACUGUUACGAAGAAAGUUGAUAGGACAAAAAAUUCUUUUGUACUUGGACGAAUUUACGUCUUUGAAUGGGCGGCUGACCAUUCAAGCGGCUGAUGAAAUAAACAUUUAAAGCACAUUGGAAAGGAACGGCACUACUGGAAAGAAAAGGAAAAUGCACUUACGGACGCCCCCCCCAAAAAAAAUUUUUCCAUUACAUUAGUUUUUGUGCUUGAAGCUUCAAAGAUCAAUUUUGCUGAAAAGUUAUGAGGAGGAACCUUAUGGAUGGGCAUAACUUAGCACCAAACAUGAACACUGGUGUGAAAUCUAACUAGAUGGAGGCAUCCUGAUGAAAGCUGUAACUUAAUAUUAUACACAAAAUAGACAUUCAUGGAAAGAGAGCAAACAGUUGCAGAAAAAAAAGUCAAGGGCUGCAUGUGGCAAUUUUGACAUGCCUCAUGAACACAAACCAGAUUCUACAGGAAUAUACAGUGCGGUGAGCGAGAUCAGACACAUUGCCCUUAUCUCAAGUAUGAGAAGGUUCGAGUAUUUGUGUAGAAGUUUGACUGUUUUAAUGAAUAAUUUUGUUAAUAAAGUUGUGUUUCAGCAA